AUUGAACGCUGGCGGCAGGCCUAACACAUGCAAGUCGAGCGGAUGAAGGGAGCUUGCUCCUGGAUUCAGCGGCGGACGGGUGAGUAAUGCCUAGGAAUCUGCCUGGUAGUGGGGGAUAACGUCCGUAAACGGGCGCUAAUACCGCAUACGUCCUGAGGGAGAAAGUGGGGGAUCUUCGGACCUCACGCUAUCAGAUGAGCCUAGGUCGGAUUAGCUAGUUGGUGGGGUAAAGGCUUACCAAGGCGACGAUCCGUAACUGGUCUGAGAGGAUGAUCAGUCACACUGGAACUGAGACACGGUCCAGACUCCUACGGGAGGCAGCAGUGGGGAAUAUUGGACAAUGGGCGAAAGCCUGAUCCAGCAAUGCCGCGUGUGUGAAGAAGGUCUUCGGAUUGUAAAGCACUUUAAGUUGGGAGGAAGGGCAGUAAGUUAAUACCUUGCUGUUUUGACGUUACCAACAGAAUAAGCACCGGCUAACUUCGUG
rnacentral:rRNA from 1 species